rnacentral:rRNA from 1 species
AAUGGGCGCAAGCCUGAUCCAGCCAUGCCGCGUGAGUGAUGAAGGCCUUCGGGUUGUAAAGCUCUUUUGGCGGGGAAGAUAAUGACGGUACCCGCAGAAUAAGCCCCGGCUAACUUCGUGCCAGCAGCCGCGGUAAU